GCCGGCCCCGUGUGCCCCCCGGAGGUCCCGUGGGGCAGGAUGGGGGGUUCUUGUGCCCCAUAACCAGCCCCACGUCCCCCCAAAUGCCCCAUGGGGCAGGGUGGGGGGGUUCCUGUGCCCCAUAACCAGCCCCAUGUCACCCCAGAGGUCCCGUGGGGCAGGGCGGGGGGGUCCUGGGCCCCAUAACCAGCCCUACAUCCCCCCAGAGGUCCCAUGGGGCAGGGUGGGGGGGUUCCUGUGCCCCAUAACCAGCCCCAUGUCCCCCCCAGAGGUCCUGUGGGGCAGAGUGGGGGGGUUCUGUGUCCCAUAACCACCCCCACGUCCCCCCGAAUGCCCUGUGGGGCAGCUCGGGAGGGUCCCCACAUCCCCCCCCUGCCCCUGCCAUGGGGCAGGGUGGGGGUCGCGGUAACCCACGUGCCCCCGCAGAUGGUGGUGGAGGACGUGGUGGCGCAGGACGCCUGCGUGUGCCGCACGGACGAGGGGCUCCUGGUGGAGGGCCUGCGGGAAGCCAUGCUGGAGACGGUGAUCCCCCGCGGCGAUGCCGACCGCGUCAUGGUGGUGCUGGGGGAGCACGCCGGGAAGGUGGGCCGGAUCCUGGAGCGGGACCCGGCGCGGAGCCGGGCGCUGGUGCAGCUGCAGCGGGAGGCGGCCGGGCGGGUGCUGGCGCUGGACUACGACGCCAUCUGCCACUACGUGGGGGGCACCGAGGACGACUGACGCUGCGCGGCCGCUGCUGCCGCCGCCCUUCGGCCCGCGCAAAUAAAGGCGGCGACACACACCCCCGCCUGUUGCUGUUGCGCCUCCGCGUGCGGGGACGCCCCCUCCAGCGAGCCCAGGCGUCCGGGCCCCUUCCCGGAGCGGGCAGCGGCCGCCCCUCGCCGCCAUGGCGCAGGCCCGGGGGGUAAACAGCCUCCGCUUCAACCAG
rnacentral:lncRNA from 1 species